GGGCCCGUAGCUCAGCCUGGUCAGAGCGCCCGACAGCUGACCGGGUGGUCGAGGGUCCGAAUCCCUCCGGGCCCA
rnacentral:tRNA from 2 species